CCUACGGGAGGCAGCAGUGGGGAAUAUUGGACAAUGGGCGAAAGCCUGAUCCAGCCAUGCCGCGUGUGUGAAGAAGGCCUUCGGGUUGUAAAGCACUUUCAGUGGGGCAGAAAGCCUUGGGGCUAAUACCCUCGAGGAAGGACAUCACCCACAGAAGAAGCACCGGCUAACUCCGUGCCAGCAGCCGCGGUAAUACGGAGGGUGCGAGCGUUAAUCGGAAUUACUGGGCGUAAAGCGCGCGUAGGCGGUCUGAUAAGCCGGUUGUGAAAGCCCCGGGCUCAACCUGGGAACGGCAUCCGGAACUGUCAGGCUAGAGUGCAGGAGAGGAAGGUAGAAUUCCCGGUGUAGCGGUGAAAUGCGUAGAGAUCGGGAGGAAUACCAGUGGCGAAGGCGGCCUUCUGGACUGACACUGACGCUGAGGUGCGAAAGCGUGGGUAGCAAACAGGAUUAGAUACCCUAGUAGUC
rnacentral:rRNA from 1 species